rnacentral:rRNA from 1 species
AGCGAACGCUGGCGGCAGGCUUAACACAUGCAAGUCGAACGGGCACUUCGGUGCUAGUGGCAGACGGGUGAGUAACACGUGGGAACGUACCUUUUGGUUCGGAAUAAUUCAGGGAAACUUGGACUAAUACCGGAUACGCCCUUCGGGGGAAAGAUUAAUCGCCGAAAGAUCGGCCCGCGUCUGAUUAGCUAGUUGGUGAGGUAAUGGCUCACCAAGGCGACGAUCAGUAGCUGGUCUGAGAGGAUGAUCAGCCACACUGGGACUGAGACACGGCCCAGACUCCUACGGGAGGCAGCAGUGGGGAAUAUUGGACAAUGGGCGCAAGCCUGAUCCAGCCAUGCUGCGUGUGUGAUGAAGGCCUUAGGGUUGUAAAGCACUUUUGUCCGGGAAGAUAAUGACUGUACCGGAAGAAUAAGCCCCGGCUAACUUCGUGCCAGCCGCCGCCGUAAAAC